UACGGAGGGUGCGAGCGUUGUCCGGAAUCACUGGGCGUAAAGGGCGCGUAGGUGGCGCGGCAAGUCAACGGUGAAAGCUCGACGCUCAACGUCGAGUCGGCCGUCGAUACUGCUGGGCUUGAGCACUGUAGGGGCAGAUGGAAUUCCGGGUGUAGCGGUGGAAUGCGUAGAGAUCCGGAAGAACACCGGUGGCGAAGGCGGUCUGCUGGGCAGUAGCUGACACUGAGGCGCGACAGCGUGGGGAGCAAACAGG
rnacentral:rRNA from 1 species